rnacentral:lncRNA from 1 species
UUUCAAAACAGACAAGGGAAAAAGAGAAACAUCAGAAAGUCUGAUUAAAGUAGAAGCAUCAUAUUUCUAUCAACGUAUCCACUGUGCUUGGACUCUGUAAUAUUCACCGGCAGGAAAACCCAAGGGAAUGACUACUAUGACAUCUGAUGGUACAAGAACUAACAAUGAACAGAACAAAGGGGUGUGUGAUCCAGUCCUUGCUCUGUUCACUGAGCUCUGCCCAGCGGCUGGUUGCUUUCACACGAGGAAAACCUUUUUUUCUGCUCUCUUGGCACAAAUUGCUGGAGCUGAAUGUACCAGGGUGGGUGAAGGGGAGGAUGAGGUCAGAGAGGUAACAGGGCCAGGCAAGCCAUUGUCAGGAUUUUGGAUUUUACUGUGUACGGAAUGUGUUUGCCAGAACAAUGCGGGAGUUGCAGAGAGAGGUGUCCUGUGUUUGUUCCCAGUCUUCCUUCACUCACCUGCACCUGCUCCUGCCCUGCUUCGGCCAACAUGUUCUAUGCAGGGUGGUUUUGCUGAUGAGACAGCUGCAGUUUGGGGAGUGUGAUAUCAAGGAAAGCAGUGUCUUGAGUCUGUCACUUUCUCUCUCUGUCCCAUUGGCUGCUCACUGAUGUCACUUAGAGGAAGGCAGGGGCACAAGAUGGGAGGACCCAGAGCUCCGGGUUCUUAAUGAAUUUUUGCCACCUUCAAUGAGAAAGACUGAAACAAAAAACUCAGAAGAAAGAAAGAGACUGAGAUAGCAAAUAUGACAAACUGUUAAAAAUUCAUGAAUCUGUUAUGGAAUACUAUGCAGCCAUAAAAAAGGAUGAGUUCCUGUCCUUUGCAAGGACGUGUAUGAAGCUGGAAACCAUCAUUCUGAGCAAACUAAAACAGGAACAGAAAACCAAACACCACAUGUUCUCACUCAUAAGUGGGAGUUGAACAAUGAGAACACAUGGACACGGCGGGGUGGUGGGAACAUCACACACCGGGGCCUGUCAGAGGGGAGGGGGCUAGGGGAGAGAUAGCAUUAGGAGAAAUACCUAAUGUAGAUGAUGGGUUGAUGGGUGCAGCAAACCACCAUGGCAUGUGUAUACCUAUGUAACAAACCUGCAUGUUCUGCACAUGUAUCCCAGAACUUAAAGUAUAAUAAUAAAAAGAGAGAUUAAAAAAAUUGGUGAAUCUGGGCAAAAUGUACACAGGAUUUUUCUGUACUGUUCUUGCAACUUUUCUACAGAUUUGAAAUGUUACAAAAUAAAAGGUAUUUUUAGAAAAAGAG